rnacentral:rRNA from 1 species
AGGAUGAACGCUAGCGGCAGGCUUAAUACAUGCAAGUUGAGGGGCAGCAUGAUAUACGCGAGUAUAUUGAUGGCGACCGGCGGACGGGUGAGUAACGCGUGGGAACGUGCCUCUUGCUACGGAAUAGCCUCGGGAAACUGGGAGUAAUACCGUAUGUGCCCUACGGGGGAAAGAUUUAUCGGCAAGAGAUCGGCCCGCGUUGGAUUAGGUAGUUGGUGGGGUAAUGGCCUACCAAGCCGACGAUCCAUAGCUGGUUUGAGAGGAUGAUCAGCCACACUGGGACUGAGACACGGCCCAGACUCCUACGGGAGGCAGCAGUGGGGAAUCUUAGACAAUGGGCGCAAGCCUGAUCUAGCCAUGCCGCGUGAGCGAUGAAGGCCUUAGGGUUGUAAAGCUCUUUCAGUGGGGAAGAUAAUGACUGUACCCACAGAAGAAGCCCCGGCUAACUCCGUG